rnacentral:tRNA from 5 species
UGGGGAGUCGCCAAGUGGUAAGGCAGCGGCCUUUGGAGCCGCCAUUCGAAGGUUCGAAUCCUUCCUCCCCAGCCA